GUCUACGGCCAUACCACCCUGAACGCGCCCGAUCUCGUCUGAUCUCGGAAGCUAAGCAGGGUCGGGCCUGGUUAGUACUUGGAUGGGAGGAAGUUACCCUUUGUAGUCU
ensembl:rRNA 5S_rRNA 5S ribosomal RNA